rnacentral:rRNA from 1 species
GGAUUGCCUCAGUAACGGCGAGUGAAGCGGCAAUAGCUCAGAUUUGAAAGCCGAUGUCAUUUUCAUGCGUCCGCAUUGUAAUCUGUAGAGGAGUGUUCGGGUGUGGCCUCGGUCCAAGUUCCUUGUGAACAGGACAUCAUGGAGGGUGAGAAUCCCGUGAAUGGCCUUGGUCCUAUGCCCGUGUGAACCUCCUUCAACGAGUCGAGUUGUUUGGGAAUGCAGCUCUAAAUGGGUGGUAUAUUUCAUCUAAAGCUAAAUACAGGCAGGAGACCGAUAGCGCACAAGUAGAGUGAUCGAAAGAUGAAAAGAACUUUGAAAAGAGAGUCAAAUAGUACGUGAAAUUGUUGAAAGGGAAGCACUUGCGUCCAGACUUGCCCGCGGYCGAUCAGCCGUCAAUUUUUUGAUGGUGCACUUGGCUGUGGGCAGGCCAGCAUCGGUCAAUGGCGAUGAGAAAAAGAUGCCUGGAAUGUGGCUCCUUCGGGAGUGUUAUAGCCUGGCAUGCAAUACCACCAGCUUUGACCGAGGCCCGCGCUUUAAACGGCUCGGAUGUUGGCGUAAUGGAUGCAAGUGACCCGUCUUGAAACACGGACCAAGGAGUCUAACAGCCGUGCGAGUGUUUGGGUGGAAAACCCUCACGCGCAAUGAAAGUGAACUUAGGUGGGAACCGAAAGGUGCACCAUCGACCGAUCCCGAUGUCUUCGGACGGAUUUGAGUAGAGCAUGGCUGUUGGGACCCGAAAGAUGGUGAACUAUGCCUGAUAGGGUGAAGCCAGAGGAAACUCUGGUGGAGGCUCGCAGCGGUUCUGACGUGCAAAUCGAUCGUCAAAUUUGGGUAUAGGGGCGAAAGACUAAUCGAACCAUCUAGUAGCUGGUUCC